rnacentral:rRNA from 1 species
AGUGAACGCUGGCGGCAGGCCUAACACAUGCAAGUCGAGCGGCAGCGGGUCCUUCGGGAUGCCGGCGAGCGGCGGACGGGUGAGGAAUACAUCGGAAUCUGCCCUGUCGUGGGGGAUAACCUAGGGAAACUUAGGCUAAUACCGCAUACGACCUACGGGUGAAAGCGGGGGAUCGCAAGACCUCGCGCGACAGGAUGAGCCGAUGUCCGAUUAGCUAGUUGGCGGGGUAAAGGCCCACCAAGGCGACGAUCGGUAGCUGGUCUGAGAGGAUGAUCAGCCACACUGGGACUGAGACACGGCCCAGACUCCUACGGGAGGCAGCAGUGGGGAAUAUUGGACAAUGGGCGCAAGCCUGAUCCAGCCAUGCCGCGUGGGUGAAGAAGGCCUUCGGGUUGUAAAGCCCUUUUGUCCGGGAAGAAAUCGACUGGGCUAAUACCCCGGGCGGAUGACGGUACCGGAAGAAUAAGCACCGGCUAACUUCGUG